ensembl:lncRNA
GGAAGCUGAUAAAAAAGGGACAGAACAGACAGCCGGAGGGGCUGCGUCUCAAACAAUUUCAGCCCACUUUGCCAGACUGCCUCUGUCCGUGCCCCUGGAUGGAAAGAGUGGGUAAGCUGCUCCAGACAAGGAAUAAACAGGAGUGUUAUGUAGAAGAGUGUACUUGCGCUACAGAUGAAGUAAACCUGUGACAGCUCCACGUCCAAGCAGAAGCAUUCAGGAUAAUUCUGAUUCACUGAAUUCAGCACACCAAGUUUGCGGCAUCUCAGCUUUGGUGGACUUCUGCUGAACUCAAGGUAGAACUCUGCUGAAGCCUUUCCACAGCUAUUGCAGACAGCUGAGAGCAAAAGACCUCUGAGUUUUGUGGUUGUGCAUCAGAGCCACCAGCUGAGAUGAUUAAAGACAGUGUACAUGUUUACACAGAGCAGAGAGGCGCUGGAACUGCAGGCAGCACCACGGCCUCAGCGCAGCACGGUGCCAAUAAGCACACUAGCUAGUGUGCACACUUCCAAAGAGCCACCCACAUUAGUGCAGCUGGACUGACAGCAGUGCUCUGUGAAGAUGAAGCAUAGAUGUAUCAGCCUGGUGGGCUGCAAGGUAAUACUGCAUUUAAAACAUACAGAGGUCAACUGGAACUAAAAAGUUCUCAGACGUCAGCAAAAGAAGAGCAACCUAUACUUCAGGUAAUGGAGAGUUCUGUGCUUUGCCAAAGAAUAAUUAGUCUAAGAUUAUUAAUACAACAGCUUGAGGAGAUAUCUUCCAUCUACUUUUACAGAAGGACACAACUAGCUUCAGCAUUAAAGAAUUUUUCUGAGCAACGUGUGGAACAGAGCUUCCAUACAUGGUUCAACCAAAGCCAACAAAGUGGCUUGGGACCACCUGUCCGAUUCUAAUUCGCCUGCAUUUGUAAUAUACUUUUCAAGUACUGGAGAAAAAUCAUCUAAAAAUUGGAAUGUGUGCCAGUCAAAUGAUAGAGAUUAAUAAAGAUUGUUACCCACAUGAAAAAACGAAACUAAGUUUCUAAGAAGAUAUUACAUUAGCAGAAGUGAGUUAUUUUCUGAAUUCAUUCUCCUGUGAUAAAUUAACUUCUCUUACAGUAUGGACAUUAAAUCAUUUGCAGUUACCUUAUCACAGCUCUGAAAAUCAGUGCCUUUGCUGAGAUUCUUCCAGUGUCCAGCAGCAGGAACACUUAGAAACAACAUGAGUUGUUUGUAUAAAAAUACUGAGCCAUCUCUGAUCUGAGAAAGUGUCCCUGUACAGUGACUACUUAAGGGAUCAUCUGAGAUUAUUUGCUUUGUAGACCCCUCACCUCUGUAGUUUCUAACUUUAAGACCAAUGACAUUUUGCAG